AUUGAACGCUGGCGGCAUGCUUUACACAUGCAAGUCGAACGGCAGCACGGGGGCAACCCUGGUGGCGAGUGGCGAACGGGUGAGUAAUGCAUCGGAACGUGCCCUGUCGUGGGGGAUAACACAUCGAAAGAUGUGCUAAUACCGCAUACGACCUGAGGGUGAAAGCGGGGGACCGUAAGGCCUCGCGCGAUAGGAGCGGCCGAUGUCUGAUUAGCUAGUUGGUGGGGUAAAGGCCUACCAAGGCGACGAUCAGUAGCUGGUCUGAGAGGACGACCAGCCACACUGGGACUGAGACACGGCCCAGACUCCUACGGGAGGCAGCAGUGGGGAAUUUUGGACAAUGGUGGCAACCCUGAUCCAGCCAUGCCGCGUGCGGGAAGAAGGCCUUCGGGUUGUAAACCGCUUUUGGCAGGAACGAAACGGUGCGGGCGAAUACCCUGUGCUAAUGACGGUGCCUGCAGAAUAAGCACCGGCUAACUACGUGCCAGCCGCCGCGGUAAAAC
rnacentral:rRNA from 1 species